rnacentral:rRNA from 1 species
UACGGGGGGAGCAAGCGUUGUUCGGAUUUACUGGGCGUAAAGGGCGCGUAGGCGGUCAGCACAAGUCAGUUGUGAAAUCUCCGGGCUUAACUCGGAAAGGUCAACUGAUACUGUGCGACUAGAGUGCAGAAGGGGCAACUGGAAUUCACGGUGUAGCAGUGAAAUGCGUAGAUAUCGUGAGGAACACCAGAGGCGAAGGCGGCUACCUGGACAAUUGCUGACGCUCAGGCACGAAAGCGUGGGGAGCAAAAGGG